UACGUAGGGUGCGAGCGUUGUCCGGAAUUAUUGGGCGUAAAGGGCUCGUAGGCGGUCUGUUGCGUCGGGAGUGAAAACUCAGGGCUUAACCCUGAGCCUGCUUCCGAUACGGGCAGACUAGAGGUAUGCAGGGGAGAACGGAAUUCCUGGUGUAGCGGUGAAAUGCGCAGAUAUCAGGAGGAACACCGGUGGCGAAGGCGGUUCUCUGGGCAUUACCUGACGCCGAGGAGCGAAAGUGUGGGGAGCGAACAGG
rnacentral:rRNA from 1 species